GGCUUCUUCUGCAGGUACCGUCAAUUUCGUCCCUGCUGAAAGGGUUUACGACCCGAAGGCCUUCAUCCCCCACGCGGCGUUGCUGCGUCAGGCUUUCGCCCAUUGCGCAAUAUUCCCCGCUGCUGCCUCCCGUAGGAGUCUGGGCCGUGUCUCAGUCCCAGUGUGGCUGGUCGUCCUCUCAGACCAGCUACCCGUCGGAGCCUUGGUGGGCCGUUACCCCACCAACAAGCUGAUAGGCCGCGAGCCCCUCCCGAAGCAAAAUUCGUUUCCUCACUCGAUCAUGCGGUCAAGUGGGGGUAUCCGGUAUUAGCACCGGUUUCCCGGUGUUAUCCCAGUCUUCGGGGCAGGUUGCUCACGUGUUACGCACCCGUUCGCCACUAGGUCUUCAACGGUAUUGCUACCGAAUGGACCUCGUUCGACUUGCAUGCGUUAAGCACGCCGCCAGCGUUCGUCCUGAGCCAUGAUCAAACUCUAAUCGAAUUCCCGCGGCCGCCAUGGC
rnacentral:rRNA from 1 species